GACGAACGCUGGCGGCGUGCUUAACACAUGCAAGUCGAACGAAGUGGCGAACGGGUGAGUAACGCGUAAUCAAACUGCCCUUCAGAGGGGGACAACAGUUGGACACGACUGCUAAUACCGAAUACUGAAGGCGGGGGAUGCGGCUGAUUAGCUGGUGGUGGGGGUAACGGCCCACCAAGGCGAUGAUCAGUAGCCGGUCUGAUAGAAUGAACGGCCACAUUGGUACUGAGGAACGGCCCAGACUCCGACGGGAGGCAGCAGUGGGGAAGCUGCCGCAAUGGACGAAAGUCUGACGGAGCAACGCCGCGUGAGUGAUGACGGCCUUCGGGUUGUAAAGCUCUGUUAAUCGGGACGCGGUACCGGAAUAGAAAGCCACGGCUAACUACGUGCCAGCCGCCGCGGUAAUUC
rnacentral:rRNA from 1 species